UGGCGGUUAGCUCAGUGGUAGAGCACCGUGCUGGGCGCACGGAGUCCCCGGUUCAAAUCCGGGAUCGCCGACCA
rnacentral:tRNA from 1 species